rnacentral:rRNA from 1 species
UACGGGGGGAGCAAGCGUUGUUCGGAUUUACUGGGCGUAAAGGGCGCGUAGGCGGCCAACUAAGUCAGACGUGAAAUCCCUCGGCUUAACCGGGGAACUGCGUCUGAUACUGGAUGGCUUGAGUUUGGGAGAGGGAUGCGGAAUUGCAGGUGUAGCGGUGAAAUGCGUAGAUAUCUGGAGGAACACCGGUGGCGAAGGCGGCAUCCUGGACCAACACUGACGCUGAGGAGCGAAAGCCAGGGGAGCAAACGGG